rnacentral:rRNA from 1 species
AUUGAACGCUGGCGGCAGGCCUAACACAUGCAAGUCGAGCGAGCGGCGGACGGGUGAGUAAUGCCUGGGAAUUGCCCAGUCGGGGGGGAUAACAGUUGGAAACGACUGCUAAUACCGCAUACUGUUCGAUUGCCAAGGUGGGAUUAGCUAGUUGGUGAUGUAAUGGCUCACAAAGGCGACGAUCCCUAGCUGGUCUGAGGGGAUGACCAGCCACACUGGAACUGAGACUCGGUCCAGACUCCUACGGUAGGCAGCAGUGGGGAAUAUUGCAACAUGGGGGAAACCCUGAUGAAGCCAUGCCGCGUGUGUGAAGAAGGCCUUCGGGUUGUAAAGCACUUUCAGCGAGGAGGCGUUACUCGCAGAAGAAGCACCGGCUAACUCCGUGCCAGCAGCCGCGGUAAUAC